UAGAUGAUUAGUCCAUGAGAGGAUAUUAAAUUUACAAUGUUCUAGGGCAAUCAGGUGUAUUCUAUACAACUGCACCACUAUACAAAUGGUGGUGGUUUGGAAGCUCAGAGAAGAAAAUUAUGUUCAAAUUAGCAGUUGCUUCCUUUGUCAAUCAACAUAGCAGCCCAGGUCAGGGAAAUGGCUGAUUACUAAACAAAACAACUGCUAACAAUUUAAAUUGAGACAGUAUUGUGAUGUAUCCUCGUUGCUUAUAGAACAGAGUCACCUAGAAAGGGCACAGCUAACUCUGGCUAAAAAUAGUUCAACUAAAGUUACAACUUUGGCAGGAAAGUAUUCACCAAAUAAGUGGCUUUCUUUUUCUAUAGACAUCAGUGACUUCCCGAAUGCCUGUGUCAGCUUGUUGGUGACAAGAGAUGCUGAAUGAGACACUAUUAUGGCUUAAAGUAUUACAGGAGACAAAAUUAGUUCACAAAGAUUGAACGGAAAAGCAGAAAGAGAAGACCACAAGUGAGAAGGAAGCUGUCACCAGUUUUGAUGCUGUCUUUGUAGACAACUCCCCACUGAGUGACAGAACUGAUGAGCUCCGCACUCCCUAGGAAGAACCCAAGUGUUCCAGGCAAUGAAAAAUCAAAGCAACUGAAGAGCUGCAAAUGCUCUCCAGCCAUCAGCCUGCAGCACAGUUGUGAGGUGCAGAUUAUUAUGCAAGCUGGAUGAGAAGGGAAAGGAGAGACUGAAAGCAAGGUACUGGGAGUAGAAGAUGCUCACCUGUUGGGACAGAACCGUUGAUCACAUGCUUAGUGUCCAUGGCCACCUUCCACCCUGGUAUCGGGAUCCGACACUGUGACUGGUCCUAGGCAGCAAGCACACCAUGACUGGCUGACUGAUCCUGAACAUGUUUUCUCCUUUGUAAAACACUAUUGUCUGGCCUCUUUUAACGCUAAUGGAGAUGAGGGCACCCAGCAAGUAUCAGGGCGAAGCUGGCUGGUGAGCGGAGAAGUUUUCUUUUCAGAGAGGAGAAACAGAAGUCUUUCACUGUUUCUUUAUUGAAGCUGUGAUUCUGGGAUCUCCAGGACCCAUCUUGUAAUAACAAGGUGACAGCAAGGAGGAUGAAAGAAAACCUUACUAAAGACAAAGCAGUUAAAAGACAAAAGAGUAGAUGUCCCUGAGGACAUCAGUUAAGAAUAUCAGUCUACACUAUUGUUGAUAGAUGGUGAGAAAAACCCAAUAUUGGUCUCAGACACUAUCAAACAAUUUUCUCUUUCUUCCAGCCCAAAGUGUCCCUGACUGAUUAGGCUAAAGUACUGAGAAAUAUAACUUCUUGUUCCAUUUCCAAGAAGCACAGCCUGGCUGAUUCCUUUUACAAAGUUGGAUUCACAGUGCUUACAGUAAAGGGGCCCAGAAGAACCUCUUUCACUCAGUAGGAGGCUAAGGUGAGAAGGCCUUGACUACCUAGGUUUUCUUUCAGGAAGUACCACUCAUGUGUUUCUAUCUAUAAUGCAGGCUCCUUUUGCGGCUUUUAGGAAGUGCCACAUGGAGUCUAGCCAAGUUCCAGUGACCAAGGCCCACUUGAGAUAAUGACUCAUCACAUUUCUGGAAAUCACAGCCUGCCACCCAAAACCAGACAGCUUGUCCAUUGCUCUGUUGGGUCAGUGUGAAUGCAGCAUUCUUAACUGUCUGUUCAGAGUCCUGGAGGUGACUACAAGAGCUAAAGUCCACCAGCUGGAACCUGUGUGACCUCAGGCACCCGGGAAGUUUGGGCUCACCUUCUAAGAGAUGAGUCCUCUAUCAUUUCAGGUAUAAGCUGCUAUAUGUGAGCUCUACUGUGUAUAGCUAUUAGUGCAAAAUCCGUUUCUACCAAGUUUCCAGGUAUCUAAAGGUAUGAAUCACACACAAAUUGCACAGUCUCAUGAAAUCCCAUUUCUAAUCCCAUGUUUUGCAUAGCACACUGCCAAUUUUUGCUGCUCAAACAUCAGAGACUUUUUUUUCCUGGACCAAGGAUUAGCUAGGAGAGUGUACCCUGAUAAGGGAGGAUGAGUAAGUCCC
ensembl:lincRNA